rnacentral:rRNA from 1 species
AGGAUGUUGGCUUAGAAGCAGCCAUCAUUUAAAGAAAGCGUAAUAGCUCACUGGUCGAGUCGGCCUGCGCGGAAGAUGUAACGGGGCUAAACCAUGCACCGAAGCUGCGGCAGCGACACUAUGCGUUGUUGGGUAGGGGAGCGUUCUGUAAGCCUGCGAAGGUGUGCUGUGAGGCAUGCUGGAGGUAUCAGAAGUGCGAAUGCUGACAUAAGUAACGAUAAAGCGGGUGAAAAGCCCGCUCGCCGGAAGACCAAGGGUUCCUGUCCAACGUUAAUC